rnacentral:rRNA from 1 species
AAGUCUGACGGAGCACGCCGCGUGAGCGAUGAAGGCCUUCGGGUCGUAAAGCUCUGUUGUUAGGGAAGAACAAGUACCGGAGUAACUGCUCGUACCUUGACCGUACCUAACCAGAAAGCCACGGCUAACUACCUGCCAGCAGCCGCGGUAAUACGUAAGUGGCAAGCGUUUUCCGGAAUUAUUGGGCGUAAAGCGCGCGCAGGGGGUUUCUUAAGUCUGAUGUGAAAGCCCCCGGCUCAACCGUGGAAGGUCAUUGGAAACUGGGGAACUUGAAUGCAGAAAAAGAAAGCGGAAUUCCCCGUGUAGCGGUGAAAUGCGUAAAAAUUUGGAGGAACCCCAGUGGCGAAGGCGGCUUUUUGGUCUGUAACUGACCCUGAAGCGCGAAAGCGUGGGGAGCCAACAGGAU